rnacentral:rRNA from 1 species
GACGAACGCUGGCGGCGUGCCUAAUACAUGCAAGUAGAACGCUGAAGGAGGAGCUUGCUUCUCUGGAUGAGUUGCGAACGGGUGAGUAACGCGUAGGUAACCUGCCUUGUAGCGUGGGAUAACUUUUGGAAACGAUAGCUAAUACCGCAUAAGAGUAGAUGUUGCAUGACAUUUGCUUAAAAGUUUCAAUUGCAUCACUACCAGAUGGACCUGCGUUGUAUUAGCUAGUUGGUGGGGUAACGGCUCACCAAGGCGACGAUACAUAGCCGACCUGAGAGGGCGGUAGGCCACACUGGGACGGAGACACGGCACAGACGGACACGGGAGGCAGCAGGAGGGAAACGUGGGGAAGGGACGGAAGACUGAACGAGAAACGCGGAGGGAGUGAAGAAGGAUGUCGGAUCGGAAAGCUCUGUUGUAAGAGAAGAAAGAGUGUGAGAGUGGAAAGUUGACAGUGUGACGGUAACGGAUAAGAAAGGGACGGCUAACUACGUG